rnacentral:rRNA from 1 species
GACGAACGCUGGCGGCGUGCUUAACACAUGCAAGUCGAACGGAAAGGCCCUGCUUUUGUGGGGUGCUCGAGUGGCGAACGGGUGAGUAACACGUGAGUAACCUGCCCUUGACUUUGGGAUAACUUCAGGAAACUGGGGCUAAUACCGGAUAGGAGCUCCUGCUGCAUGGUGGGGGUUGGAAAGUUUCGGCGGUUGGGGAUGGACUCGCGGCUUAUCAGCUUGUUGGUGGGGUAGUGGCUUACCAAGGCUUUGACGGGUAGCCGGCCUGAGAGGGUGACCGGCCACAUUGGGACUGAGAUACGGCCCAGACUCCUACGGGAGGCAGCAGUGGCGAGUAUUGCACAGUGGGCGGACGCCUGAUGCAGCAACGCCGCGUGCGUAAAGACGGCCUUCGGGUUGUAAACCGCUUUCGCCUGUGACGAAGCGUGCGUGACGGUAAUGAGUAAAGAAGCACCGGCUAACUACGUG